GACGAACGCUGGCGGCGUGCUUAACACAUGCAAGUCGAACGGAAAGGCCCUGCUUUUGUGGGGUGCUCGAGUGGCGAACGGGUGAGUAACACGUGAGUAACCUGCCCUUGACUUUGGGAUAACUUCAGGAAACUGGGGCUAAUACCGGAUAGGAGCUCCUGCUGCAUGGUGGGGGUUGGAAAGUUUCGGCGGUUGGGGAUGGACUCGCGGCUUAUCAGCUUGUUGGUGGGGUAGUGGCUUACCAAGGCUUUGACGGGUAGCCGGCCUGAGAGGGUGACCGGCCACAUUGGGACUGAGAUACGGCCCAUACUCCUACGGGAGGCAGCAGUGGGGAAUAUUGCACGAUGGGCGGAAGCCUGAUGCAGCAACGCCGCGUGCGGGAUGACGGCCUUCGGGUUGUAACCCGCUUUCGCCUGUGACGAAGCGUGAGUGACGGUAAUGGGUAAAGAAGCACCGGCUAACUACGUG
rnacentral:rRNA from 1 species